rnacentral:rRNA from 1 species
CGGAUUUCGAAGCGCGUUCACGGCGGCGGUUCUUGCCGUUUCUGUGGGGGUUUGCUUCUAUUUCUGGGACGCGGUGUGCGGGACUUGAUUGUCUCUGCGCAUCUGCGGGCCGGACGUUUACUGUGAAGAAA